rnacentral:tRNA from 1 species
UAUGGUUUAGUAUAGGAUGUACUUUAAUUUUUGAAAUUAAAAGUAAUGUUUUAAUCACAUUAACCAUAA